CCGUCGAUAGCUCAGUUGGUAGAGCGGAAGACUGUAGAUCUUUAGGUCGCUGGUUCGAAUCCGGCUCGACGGA
rnacentral:tRNA from 1 species